AAUGUGGCAGUUAAACGGCCAUUUUGAGAGCGGUACUAGAGCAGAGGAGAUAAAAGCCAAGUUUCCAGACUGUUGUAAGAGUCCUGAGGGGAUCGCAGGAGAUCAGGCUGUGCUGGAUGGGUCUCCUGUCAUAGAGGACAGAUCAGAGGCAGCCUUUUGAAGAGAUGGGCUGCACUGAGUAAGGCAAAACCCUGUGUUUUCUUGCAGCGCAGGCUGGGUGGACUUUGAGGUGGAACUGCAUCCUAUAAGUCAGACGGUGGGCAGCAGCUUGGAGGAAAGACCCACCGAGAGGAGCACUUAUAGUAAGAAGGAGCAAUAUCCAUAACAGACGCUGAGGACAUUGUCGAUAUCUGGGGAGGAACCGAGGUCCAUAGAAGGUUGUUAUGGAGGUCCCCAGUGGACGGAUAAGUAUGCUGAGUGAAAAAAGGCAACUCCAGAGAACAACAACAACAACAACAACAACAACAACAACAACAACAGUCAACAAGAGGACGAAGCAACAAAAGCAAGAUAUGGUACAUCCCAGGUGAUGAUACAGAAUACAAGUAUAGGUUGAUUCAUCAGUAGUAAAACAAGCUUAUAAUUAAAGAAUCGAGGAUAUUUCCAGGAUGACAAGGAACAUUAUGUCAAACAUCAGAUAUCACAAUCCCUGAGAAAAAUAAACAACUGAGCAAAAUACAAAGUCAAUGACAUAACAAGGUAGGGAAGGUACAAGAGGAAUGAGGGACAGAUAAGCUGCACAGUAGGUAGACCAAACACCUCAGGCCAUUAAGAAUCUAGCAGUACCUG